rnacentral:tRNA from 1 species
UGAGGUGUAACUCAAUGGCAGAGUAACGUGUUCCUAACACGUAAGUUCUGGGUUCGAAUCCCGGUACCUCAG